GACGAACGCUGGCGGCGUGCUUAACACAUGCAAGUCGAACGGAGUGGCGAACGGGUGAGUAACACGUGGGUGACCUUCCCUGCACUUCGGGAUAAGCUUGGGGAACUGGUACUAAUACCGGCUAGUGUGGGAUGGGCGCGCGGCCUAUCAGCUUGUUGGUGGGGUAAUGGCCUACCAAGGCGGCGACGGGUAGCCGGCCUGGGGGGGGAGACGGCCACAAGAGGCCUGAGACACGGAGCAGACUCCUACAGGGGGCAACGGUGGGGAGUAGUGCACAAUGAGGGGAAGCCUGAUGAGGAGGCGCUGCGUGUGGAAUGACGUCCCUCGGGGUGGAAACUCCUUUCACCAACGACGCGGUAGAUGGAGAAGAAGCACCGGCUAACUACGUGCCAGCAGCCGCGGUAAUAC
rnacentral:rRNA from 1 species